GACGACCGCUGGCGGCGUGCCUAAUACAUGCAAGUCGAGCGAAUCGGCGAGUGGGUGAGUAACGCGUGGGUAACCUGCCCUUAAGUCUGGGAUACCAUUUGGAAACAGAUGCUAAUACCGGAUACUACAGGAUGGACCUGCGGUGCAUUGGCUAGUUGGUAAGGUAACGGCUUACCAAGGCGAAGAUGCAGAGCAGAGGUGAGAGACGGAUCGGCCACAUUGUGACUGAGACACGGCCCAAACUCCUACGGUGGGCAGCAGUAGGGAAUCUUCCACAAUGGACGAAAGUCUGAUGGAGAAACGCCGCGUGAGUGAAGAAGGUUUUCGGAUCGGAAAGCUCUGUUGUUGGUGAAGCGGUAAUCAACCAGAAAGUCACGGCUAACUACGUGCCAGCAGCCGCGGUAAUUC
rnacentral:rRNA from 1 species